UAAAACACUUCAAAAUUUCAAAAUUCAAACCAUAACUUAUUUCCUAUACCCAAAAAAAGAAUCAUGAUUUCUUUCAAUCACCGGAUGAAUCACAUACACCGAUCCACCUCUCUCUAAAUUCAUCACCCAAUAAUCCAUCUAGAAAUUGAUAGGACAAACCAAAUAUCACACAAAACCCUAAAUUUGAAUUUUUUUCUGCAUCAUUCUCUCUUCAUCAACUGUUUCACAUCAAACAAACUCAACAAUUCUCUAAUGGAAGUACCAACAAACCGAAGCAGAGUCGUACUUCAGGUAGCUGUAUUUUCCCUAAUUUGCAGCUUUUCGUUCGUUUUCGCUGGAGAUAUUGUUCAUCAGGAUGAUAUAGCACCUAAAUGGCCUGGAUGUGAGAACAAUUUCGUUCUGACGAUUUUUGGCCGGAAUUUUGCCGGAACGUGGGUUGAAAAAUGCGCCCUGAGGAAAUGAAAGAGGGGCUUUUGAAGCAAAGCAAGAAGUCUGCACUGGGCCUGAAAAGUAGGCCUAGGCGCUCGUCUGGGUGAACCUUGACAACAGAGUUUUAAGGUGAUACUCUGCAGUUCACUGCAACUUGUAGUGUUUAGAAAGUUAUGAUGCACCAACCUGUGUUACCGGAUAGGUUGGGGGUGUUACCCCAAAGAAGGGUGGGACAGAGCAUUUGGGGCUGCCUGUUUUCAACACGGUUACAUAUGCAUUUGGGACAGAGCAUUUUGUGCUUUCAGUAAAAGAAAUUUAUUAAGUGUUUUUAACUUUAUAAUUUAUGCUACAGGUUAAGGUAAAGGCUGCUCUUCUUCAGCAGUCAAAAACUCGGUUAAUUGGUCCCAACUGUCCUGGUAUCAUUAAGCCUGGAGAAUGCAAGAUCGGUAUUAUGCCUGGUUACAUUCACAAACUAGGGCGCAUUGGUAUUGUAUCUCGGUCCGGCACGCUAACAUAUGAAGCGGAAGUUUGCUUCUUACACGAGGUUAACCGGAUUCUAGCCUCGAAUCGUCUGGAGCCAUUCUCAAGGCUGGCAAGUGGAAAGUUCAACUACUUCUCAAAGGAUUGCUUACAACCCUUCCAAGAAAGAUUUACAACCUUCAAAACCAAAUGGUGAUUAUGAUCAUUGAGAAAAAAGAGUGGGUUGCCAAUUAUGAGCAGAUGAAAUCCACUGCAGAAAUGGCUGAACUGACGCUAAAACAUGAGCAAUCUAUCCAUACGGCUGCUCUAGCUGAAGCAAAGCUAAGGGAAGAAAAACUGAAAAAGGCUUUUGGAAUUGAAAAGGAAUGUGUUUCCAAUCAUUGCGGGCCUGUUAAAUGUUGGAAGCGUGUUCUAGACUCCAUCUGCUGGAGCUUUGAAGGGAUUUGGUUUUUGUGAAUUUGAAUCCGUGGAAGGAGUUUUACGAGCUUUACUGUUGCUAAGGAGCUUUAGGUGUGCAUGCUUUACAAUUUUCUUUAUGUACUAUAUGCAAAAAUGUUCAAAAUGAUUGAAAUCGAGGAGAAGAUGAUACAGGAAACGCGAUGUAAAUGCAACUGAAAUCGAGAGAAUUAUUGGGUGGAUUUACGGUUCCGUGAUGGAAGAUAUUCUUACAGGAUUCAAGAUGCAUGCACGUGGUUGGCGAUCGAUAUACUGUAUGUCACCUAGACCAGCCUUUAAAGGUUCUGUACCUAUAAACCUGUCGGAUUGUUUAAACCAAGUGCUCAGAUGGGCUUUAGGGUCGAUUGAAAUCCUGUUCAGCAGACAUUGCCCAAUUUGGUAUGGUUAUAGUGG